rnacentral:rRNA from 1 species
AGGAAAUUGCCCUGAUGUGGGGGAUAACCAUUGGAAACGAUGGCUAAUACCGCAUGAUGCCUACGGGCCAAAGAGGGGGACCUUCGGGCCUCUCGCGUCAGGAUAUGCCUAGGUGGGAUUAGCUAGUUGGUGAGGUAAGGGCUCACCAAGGCGACGAUCCCUAGCUGGUCUGAGAGGAUGAUCAGCCACACUGGAACUGAGACACGGUCCAGACUCCUACGGGAGGCAGCAGUGGGGAAUAUUGCACAAUGGGCGCAAGCCUGAUGCAGCCAUGCCGCGUGUGUGAAGAAGGCCUUCGGGUUGUAAAGCACUUUCAGUCGUGAGGAAGGUAGUGUAGUUAAUAGCUGCAUUAUUUGACGUUAGCGACAGAAGAAGCACCGGCUAACUCCGUGCCAGCAGCCGCGGUAAUACGGAGGGUGCGAGCGUUAAUCGGAAUUACUGGGCGUAAAGCGCAUGCAGGUGGUUUGUUAAGUCAGAUGUGAAAGCCCGGGGCUCAACCUCGGAAUUGCAUUUGAAACUGGCAGACUAGAGUACUGUAGAGGGGGGUAGAAUUUCAGGUGUAGCGGUGAAAUGCGUAGAGAUCUGAAGGAAUACCGGUGGCGAAGGCGGCCCCCUGGACAGAUACUGACACUCAGAUGCGAAAGCGUGGGGAGCAAACAGGAUUAGAUACCCUGGUAGUCCACGCCGUAAACGAUGUCUACUUGGAGGUUGUGGCCUUGAGCCGUGGCUUUCGGAGCUAACGCGUUAAGUAGACCGCCUGGGGAGUACGGUCGCAAGAUUAAAACUCAAAUGAAUUGACGGGGGCCCGCACAAGCGGUGGAGCAUGUGGUUUAAUUCGAUGCAACGCGAAGAACCUUACCUACUCUUGACAUCCAGAGAACUUUCCAGAGAUGGAUUGGUGCCUUCGGGAACUCUGAGACAGGUGCUGCAUGGCUGUCGUCAGCUCGUGUUGUGAAAUGUUGGGUUAAGUCCCGCAACGAGCGCAACCCUUAUCCUUGUUUGCCAGCGAGUAAUGUCGGGAACUCCAGGGAGACUGCCGGUGAUAAACCGGAGGAAGGUGGGGACGACGUCAAGUCAUCAUGGCCCUUACGAGUAGGGCUACACACGUGCUACAAUGGCGCAUACAGAGGGCAGCCAACUUGCGAAAGUGAGCGAAUCCCAAAAAGUGCGUCGUAGUCCGGAUUGGAGUCUGCAACUCGACUCCAUGAAGUCGGAAUCGCUAGUAAUCGUGGAUCAGAAUGCCACGGUGAAUACGUUCCCGGGCCUUGUACACACCGCCCGUCACACCAUGGGAGUGGGCUGCAAAAGAAGUAGGUAGUUU